rnacentral:lncRNA from 1 species
CAGAGGGGACCCUGACCUUCCUGUGAAGUGUCAUGAGCCCAUAAGGACAGUUGGCUGAUGGCCUGGGCACCUGUCCAGCUACAAUCUCCAUGCUGCAUCUUAGGAGCAAGAGAAAUUGAGAGGAGAUUCAGGGUUUGUGUUUGUGGCUUAGGGGGAUGGGACACAGCAGGAGGCAGGGGCUCAGCAGCCAGAAGCCCUUGGUUAACAGGAAAUGGUCUGUGAAGAAUUGUGCUGGGAAUUGCAUUGAAUCUGUAGAUUACUGACUGACCCUUUCUUCCCAUCAACUCCUUCUGGCUUCACUUUUAUCCCGCUGGAACUUGCCUGUCACUGCCUGCCACCAUUGAUGUCUCGUCCCCGAAUGCUGCAGAAGGGGAAAACAUUCAUCUCCUUGUUCAUAAUCUGCCAGAGAACCUUGGAACCCUUUCCUGGUGUGGCAAAGAACUGAGGACCAGGGUUGCCUGCUCUCUCUGGGAUGAAGGAACUGGCUUGGAGUUCCUUGGCCCCUGAGGAACGAGGAGGUUACUGAGCACAGGCGGAGAGCUGGUACCCUAGCAGAAUCUGUGGAACAGUUGGUGAUGUGAUCCAAACUCCUUCUGUCUUUCAAUCAUUGUGCACAGAUUUGAUUUAAUAAAAGUCUCCACACCACACAGUGAGCAGCAAGGCUGAGAAGUGUCUGUGCCCUGAGAGAGAGGCAGCUCACCCCAAGGAUGGCCUCUGCUGAGUCCUGACCUCGGUCUGUCAGAACCAGAGAAGGAACCACUGGCUUCUCAACGUGAUCUUUGUGACAUAAAAAUCCCCGUUGUUCUUCUGGGCUGCCCUGAGUUUACACCCAACAUGCAGAGAUAUCUCCCAGGCCUAGGAUGGGACUAAGUGGAUGACGACUGCGUGAAGGAACUUAACCAUGAUCACAGAGUUCGGUUCCAGGUCAGGGGCCCAGGAGCAAUUGUGUCAGAAGUGUGACAUCCUGUGUGUGGGGGAGGAAGUGACCUGUGAUCUGGAAGGAGGAUGUGG